rnacentral:rRNA from 1 species
GACGAACGCUGGCGGCGUGCUUAACACAUGCCAGUCGAACGGAAAGGCCCUGCUUGCGGGGUACUCGAGUGGCGAACGGGUGUGUAACACGUGUGAGCUCUGCCCUCCACUUCGGGAUCAGCCUGGGAAACGGGGUCUAAUACGGGAUAGGAGCCUGCUUUAUUGUGGUGGUUGGAAAGUUUUUUCGGUGGAGGAUGGGCUCGCGGCCUAUCAGCUUGUUGGUGGGGUAAUGGCCUACCAAGGCGGCGACGGGUAGCCGGCCUGAGAGGGUGGACGGCCACAUUGGGACUGAGAUACGGCCCAGACUCCUACGGGAGGCAGCAGUGGGGAAUAUUGCACAAUGGGCGCAAGCCUGAUGCAGCGACGCCGCGGGGGGGAUGACGGCCUUCGGGUUGUAAACUCCUUUCGCUAGGGACGAAGCUUUUUGUGACGGUACCUAGAGAAGAAGCACCGGCUAACUACGUG